GAGGGCUUGAUUCCACCUCAGCUCUCUGUGACGGCACCAUCUGUUGUUUAGGCUCCAACAAAGGUGUCGUCCGGCUGCUGCUGCUCACUCUCUGUCUCAGAAACACAUCAUCAGCUGCUGGGAGUGUGGAGGAACAUCUGGAGGAACAUCUGGAGGAUCAUCUGGAGGAACAUCUGGAGGAACAUCUGGAGGAACAUCUGGAGGAACAUCUGAAGGAACAUCUGGAGGAACAUCUGGAGGAACAUCUGAAGGACUGUCUGCAGGAGCAGGACAAAGACUACAAGAAUCUCCUGAAGACGCUGCAGAGCGGCCUUCCUCACAUCCACUCCUCCCAUCACGUGGUCAUUGUCGGGCCGGGGCUGCAGGACUGACGGCUGCAAAGCUGCUGCAGGACGCCGGGCACAAGUUCCUGUUUCCCUUCUUCAGAAAGCUGAACUCAUGGAUCCUCAGACAGUGAAGUGGAAAUCCUGUG